rnacentral:rRNA from 1 species
UACGGAGGGGGCGAGCGUUGUCCGAAGUUACUGGGCGUAAAGCGCGCGUAGGCGGGUUGGUAAGUCCGCUGUGAAAGCCCGGAGCUCAACUCCGGAGGGUCGGUGGAUACUGCCAGUCUUGAAGGUGCUAGGGGGAGAUGGAAUUACCGGUGUAGCGGUGAAAUGCGUAGAGAUCCGGAGGAACACCGAAGGCGAAGGCAGUGUCCUGGGGAGUACCUGACGCUCAGGUGCGAAAGCUAGGGGGAGCGAACGGG